rnacentral:rRNA from 1 species
UACGGGAGGCAGCAGUGGGGAAUAUUGCACAAUGGGCGCAAGCCUGAUGCAGCCAUGCCGCGUGUAUGAAGAAGGCCUUCGGGUUGUAAAGUACUUUCAGUCGUGAGGAAGGUGUUAAGGUUAAUAACCUUAGCAAUUGACGUUAGCGACAGAAGAAGCACCGGCUAACUCCGUGCCAGCAGCCGCGGUAAUACGGAGGGUGCGAGCGUUAAUCGGAAUUACUGGGCGUAAAGGGCACGCAGGCGGUUAAUUAAGUUGGAUGUGAAAUCCCCGGGCUUAACCUGGGAAUGGCAUUCAAGACUGGUUAGCUAGAGUCUUGUAGAGGGGGUAGAAUUCCAUGUGUAGCGGUGAAAUGCGUAGAGAUGUGGAGGAAUACCGGUGGCGAAGGCGGCCCCUGGACAAAGGCUGACGCUCAUGUGCGAAAGCGUGGGGAGCAAACGAGGGAUUAGAUACC